GCUGGGCCCCUCCUCUGCCUGCGAGCCGCGGCUGUCCCUGCGCUGGGGCUGGAAGGGGAUUCGAGUGCCUCCUGCGAAGUGGCUGCUGCGGUUUUCUGCUUUCUGUGGUUGUCUUUUUUCUUGUUUGCUACUUCAAGCUUUCAGGCAAUAGGAAGAUAACCGUAAGUGCUUCCCUGGCGUGCAGUCCAGGAGGGUUUCCAAAAGGUAGCAUCAGGUAUUCUGAAUUAAGUGAGGGGUAAUGGUGAUGACAGCUGCAGCAUUGGCUGGAGUGUCAGUUCAUGUAAAGCCCUACAGAAAGUCACAAAUGCACGGGAAGGGAGUCAUGAUGUACUAGUCUGGGCUUGAACUGAUGUUUUAAUUCUUUCUCCUUCAUUCUGGCAGCAAGAGUGGUGAUUAAAAGUGCUCUUGGAGUUUUUCUGCAAAAGUUUCCUUUACUUAUAAAUUACGGUCUCCUGGAUACCGCUGCCUUUGGCUUCGCUGAGCUCUUCGGUACCACUUUUUUGGAUUUGGUAGCCUUUGUUGUCUUUUUUGGGGCCCUUGUUUGCUACGACUGCCAGGGCCUGCUUGACUGCAGGAGCCCCUUGCACCCCAAGAAGGAAGGCGCGGCCUUGGCGAUGUGAAAGUUGUGGUCUUUGAAGCCGCCAGCCUCUGCAUCCCUCUUCUUGGGGCGUCAGGGGCUUAUAAAUCACGGUAAUAGGCGAGGGAUCGGGAGUUACAGGGAGGAGCUUGUCCGCCAUUGGUGCCUCGAGGUGGCCGCACUGCUGGGAGACGGCGGCAGCUCCUCUUUCCUCCGCACAGAAAACAAGGCCUGCUCCUGUAGAAGCUACAGGUUUCUCCUGUCAUAGGAUUCCUCUACGGCCUUCACAAGUAGUUUCUGAGAGAAUCAUGAGAACACCAGCACAAACCAGGGUGCUAGCAACUUGGAAGCCCAGGGGAAAAAAAAGGAAGUAGUUAAGCACUCGAAUAGGAGCUUUUUUGAGGGACGUGAAACUACAUGUGCUGGCAGAUCAACUGAGGGAUCAGUAACUCCUUCUGCUCAGCUAACAGCUUUCCUAAAAAGAAAAGCAGAUCAAGAAAGAGAAAACAGAUUUGAAAAUCACAUUCUUCCAACAGCCUCCUCAAGGGGAUGGUUGUCUUUUGGGAUGGACAGGAGUGUUGGGAGGAAUGUCAGGAUGAAAGACUGAAAGCAGAUGCAGAGGGGAAAAGAAGUGCUAAAUUGCUGACACUCCUAGAGUGAGCAAAGAAGUGGAGUCAUUCUCUCAUUUAUUCCUGCCAUCCCCAACCUGUUCCUGCACUCCAGCAUGCCCUGACUGCCUGCCCACAUCACGGGACGUAGCUCAGGCUCUUCCAACUAAUGCUGCCUCAUCUGGAAAAGGUUUUGCCCAUGCUCUUCCCUUAUUGUCCUGAUUAACAGGAAAAAGAUAGAUAGAUAGAUAGAUAGAUAGAUAGAUAGAUAGAUAGAUAGAUAGAUAGAUAAAAAUUUGUAGUCCAUAUACUCACCUGUUGGAUCUGAGUAAAAAAAUAAUCCAUGUAGAUGAACCACCAGGAGUAAAGGAUGAACACUGGACAUUAAACAUGAGACUGGCCAUAGAAUAAAAUAUGUCAUGUAGGAAAUGAAGUGUUAUUUCAGAAUUCAGUGAAUUCAGAUUGCUUAGAACUCCUUUUUUUCUUUUCCAUAACAUUGAAAGGUUUGAGUUCCUGUAAACAGGUUGUUUGCUCUUCCUUUUGGUUUAAUUUUGUCUAUCUUCAAAAGUGUCCUAAUACUGCAAUAAUAUACACAUUGUUACUUUAUACCCGCAGAUGCUGGUAAGAAGUUUAGAAAAGUAACACACAAAUAAAGUAUUCUAAACUAAAAACAAGAAAAUUAAGCUACAUCGUGUGGAAAAUAAAAAUUUGGGUAAGCAUUACAUGGACAACCUUGAAAUAUAGAAUAUUUCCUCAAAUAACACAAGCACACUGUAAUGCAUGAAUCUGUUCUAUGUAUUUGUAUAUUGCUGUCAUAUCCACAAGGAUUCCAUGUAAAUUUUGCCAUAAUAAAAAUUUAUUCUAAAUAAUCUUGAAGCUAAGGUAUUGCUUAGGAACAAACUACACUGAUACCUGUUGUAGUUCUUCAUAUGUGUUUGUCUUAAGAAUACUUAAAAAGUAAUAGACCCUGGAUAAUGAUAAAAACUUUGUUAUUUAAGGAGCUCUAAUACAGAGAAGAUCAAGAAAAUAUGACUUAAAAGUGAGCAAAGGCUAAAUUUCAUGGAAAAAAAAUAUUAACUGCACAAUAAGUGCCACACAAAGAGAUCUAGGGAACUAAAAAGCAUCAAGAAAUGGAUUCUAAAAGAGAUUGCAACUUUUUGAUAAAAUGCCAGUUAACACUGGGCAAGGGAGGUAAACCGGGCAUUUUGCAAGGCAGAAUAACUAUACUUAUUAAACCACAUAAAUAAAAUUAAGUUAUCUAAUUGAAUAAUCUGCAAGAAUAUUAACAUCUAUACAUUUGAAAUGAAAUUAAAGCAAAGCUAUAGAGAUGAAUUGCCAAAAAGAACCUGAUGAAAACCAAAUGUGCCACAUGAAAAGGGAAAAAUAAUUCUUACAGGAGUCCUGAAGAGACCAAAAUAGGUAAUCUGAAUAUAGAUAAAUAGAGAGAACGCCACACUUACCACUGCCAAGGAAAAGGUAUGUGAUAUCAAAUACCAAGAGCAGUAAUAGGCAGGGAAGAAUAUGUUUUAUAGUCAUGCAGAAGUUUGACUGAGUUCUCUAUUGUGUACUAUCUAUGUUGUAACCCAUAAAUGUGGUGACAGCAGGGGAAAGACUGCAUAUAAAUCUUUGGGUUUUUUCCCUUGAGUAAGUGUAAUGAUAAAUAAUGUGCAAAGACAGUGAUUCUAAAUAUGUUGGUUUUGGCUGGGUUGAAUUUUCUUCACAGUGUAUGCAUAUGUGUGUGGGGCUAUGUUUAGAAUUUAUGCUGAGUACCAGGAUGAUAAUGUAGUCAUGUUUCUGUUGUUGCUGAGCAGAGCUCACACAGAGCCAAAGCCUUUUCUGCUUUUCAUGCUGCCACAAUGGGGGAGGAAGUUAGGGAUGCCUGGGAGAUUGUAAGAAGACCCAGCCAGGACAGGUAAUCCCAACUGACCAAAGGGAUAUUCCAGACCUUAUCACUUGGUGCUCAGUACAUAAAGCUGAGGGGAGGAAGGGCAAGGCAUUUGAAAUGAUGGCAUUUAUCUUCCCCAGUAAGCACUACAGUGAUCGGGCCUUGCUCUCCCACAGAUGGCUGAACACCUGCCUGCCCAUGGGAAGUGCUGAAUAAUUCUUUGUUUUGGUUUGGUUUUCUUAUGUGUGAGUGCAGCUUUUGCUUUCCUUAUUAAACUGUCUUCAUCUCAA